rnacentral:rRNA from 1 species
AGUGAACGCUGGCGGUAGGCCUAACACAUGCAAGUCGAACGGCAGCACAGUAAGAGCUUGCUCUUACGGGUGGCGAGUGGCGGACGGGUGAGGAAUACAUCGGAAUCUACUUUUUCGUGGGGGAUAACGUAGGGAAACUUACGCUAAUACCGCAUACUACCUACGGGUGAAAGCAGGGGAUCUUCGGACCUUGCGCGAUUGAAUGAGCCGAUGUCGGAUUAGCUAGUUGGCGGGGUAAAGGCCCACCAAGGCGACGAUCCGUAGCUGGUCUGAGAGGAUGAUCAGCCACACUGGAGCUGAGACACGGUCCAGACUCCUACGGGAGGCAGCAGUGGGGAAUAUUGGACAAUGGGCGCAAGCCUGAUCCAGCCAUACCGCGUGGGUGAAGAAGGCCUUCGGGUUGUAAAGCCCUUUUGUUGGGAAAGAAAAGCAGCAGGUUAAUACCCCGCUGUUCUGACGGUACCCAAAGAAUAAGCACCGGCUAACUUCGUG